UUGCUCGUGCUUGAGGUUACGUACAAGGGACUGGGGAAAGAUCUUUGCCUGAGGGAGAAAACACACACACAUAUACACAGUUCUUUUUACCACCUUCAGAGUGCCAUACGCGGUGCUCAGAGACGGAGGUGCACAGUUUUGGUGUUUCUUGCUGGCUGACUUGAGCGUCGGAGUGCAAACGGCCGCUAGGGCGCCUCUUUGUCCUCUCUUUUGCAGGAAUCCACAGGUAACCAGUGGGAAGGAGUCCCUAGCU
rnacentral:lncRNA from 1 species